UACAGAGGGGGCAAGCGUUGUUCGGAAUUACUGGGCGUAAAGAGCUCGUAGGCGGUCUGUCGCGUCGGCUGUGAAAACUCGGGGCUCAACCCCGAGCCUGCAGUCGAUACGGGCAGACUAGAGUGCUGUAGGGGAGACUGGAAUUCCUGGUGUAGCGGUGAAAUGCGCAGAUAUCAGGAGGAACACCGGUGGCGAAGGCGGGUCUCUGGGCAGUAACUGACGCUGAGGAGCGAAAGCGUGGGGAGCAAACAGG
rnacentral:rRNA from 1 species